rnacentral:lncRNA from 1 species
UGCCCUUCCGCGACUCGCAGCUCACGCGACUGCUGCAGCCGGCGCUGGGCCCAGGCACCACCGCGGUGCUGCUGCUGCAGAUCUCCACGCGGCCGGAGGAUCUCGGGGAGACAGUCUGCUCCCUCAAGUUCGCCGACCGAGUGGGUCAAGUGGAGCUGGGGCCAGCCCGGCGCCGCAGGGUCCCGCGCUCCUCCGGGACGCCUUCUUCCCUCAGCACCGACACUCCGCUCACCGGGACCCCCUGCACCCCUACGCCGUCCCCUGGCAGUCCUCCAUGCCCCAGUCCCGACAACGGCUCGGGCUCGGCUCUCGCGCCCGCAGAGGGCCUGCCCCUCUAGUCCUGGGUCGCGGCCCUGCCCAUGGGGUCUCAGGCCAGGUCUCUGCUGGCAGAGGCGGUAGUAAAGUCCCUGUACCCCGUCUCCCAGGGCACAAGCUCCCUAGCCUCUUUGGAUCCAUUGCCCCUGAGCUCCCAGAGUCACCCCUCCACCUCCGCAGCCAGUGAAGUGUGUUGUGCCUGCUGAAGUGAUCACCCCCCGCCCCCAGCCCUGCAUCAGGCCACAGGUCUUGGCUUUCUCCUUAUCACCAUUUGCUGUUAUCACGGCACACAGCAGGGAAUCCCAGGCCCCCCCGCCAAGUGGUUACCCAAGUCACCACUCCUGACCCAAAAAUCAGGCAUGGCAUUAAAACGUUGCAAAUUCCUUUACUGUUAUCCCCCCCACCACCAGGACCAUGUAGGGUGCAGUCUUUACUCCCUAACCCGUUUCCCGAAAAAGGUGCUACCUCCUUUCCAGACAGAUGAGAGAGGGCAGGACUUCAGGCUGGAUCCACCACUGGGCUCUCCCUCCCCCAGCCUGGAGCACGGGAGGGGAGGUGACGGCUGGUGACUGAUGGAUGGGUAGUGGGCUGAGAAGAGGGGACUAGGAAGGGCUAUUCCAGGCUCAGCCCUGCUCCUGCAGCUUUGCCGCUGAGUGUAGGAAAAACAGGCAUGACAGACCAGGGUGAGGGUUGUGCCCAGCUGGGCCACGGCCAUGCGUGGGGUGGCCCAAUAAACA